rnacentral:rRNA from 1 species
AUGUGUGCACGAUAUCAAGCGGCCCCUAAAGAAUGUCAUCUUAAGGCUGUGAAAAGGAUAGUGAGAUACUUACUACACACAUCAAAUUUUGGCAUUUGGUAUCCUAAGAGGUUUUCUUUCAAUCUUGUUGGUUACUGCGAUUCGGACUAUGCCGGAGACAAGGUUGAUAGAAAGUCCACUUCGGGUACUUGUCAAUUUCUUGGUAGAUCUCUUGUGUCUUGGUCCUCCAAGAAACAAAACUCGGUAUCCUUAUCCACCGCCGAAGCGGAAUACAUUGCCGCUGGUUCAUGUUGUGCUCAAUUACUUUGGAUGACCUAA